AGUGAACGCUGGCGGUAGGCCUAACACAUGCAAGUCGAACGGCAGCACAGUAAGAGCUUGCUCUUACGGGUGGCGAGUGGCGGACGGGUGAGGAAUACAUCGGAAUCUACUUUUUCGUGGGGGAUAACGUAGGGAAACUUACGCUAAUACCGCAUACGACCUACGGGUGAAAGCAGGGGAUCUUCGGACCUUGCGCGAUUGAAUGAGCCGAUGUCGGAUUAGCUAGUUGGCGGGGUAAAGGCCCACCAAGGCCACGAUCCGUAGCUGGUCUGAGAGGAUGAUCAGCCACACUGGAACUGAGACACGGUCCAGACUCCUACGGGAGGCAGCAGUAGGGAAUAUUGGACAAUGGGCGCAAGCCUGAUCCAGCCAUACCGCGUGGGUGAAGAAGGCCUUCGGGUUGUAAAGCCCUUUUGUUGGGAAAGAAAAGCAGCAGGUUAAUACCCCGCUGUUCUGACGGUACCCAAAGAAUAAGCACCGGCUAACUUCGUG
rnacentral:rRNA from 1 species